CUUAGUACGGCGAGUGAAGCGGCAAAAGCUCAAAUUUGAAAUCUGGUACCUUCGGUGCCCGAGUUGUAAUUUGGAGAGGGCAACUUUGGGGCCGUUCCUUGUCUAUGUUCCUUGGAACAGGACGUCAUAGAGGGUGAGAAUCCCGUGUGGCGAGGAGUGCGGUUCUUUGUAAAGUGCCUUCGAAGAGUCGAGUUGUUUGGGAAUGCAGCUCUAAGUGGGUGGUAAAUUCCAUCUAAAGCUAAAUAUUGGCGAGAGACCGAUAGCGAACAAGUACAGUGAUGGAAAGAUGAAAAGAACUUUGAAAAGAGAGUGAAAAAGUACGUGAAAUUGUUGAAAGGGAAGGGCAUUUGAUCAGACAUGGUGUUUUGUGCCCUCUGCUCCUUGUGGGUAGGGGAAUCUCGCAUUUCACUGGGCCAGCAUCAGUUUUGGUGGCAGGAUAAAUCCAUAGGAAUGUAGCUUGCCUCGGUAAGUAUUAUAGCCUGUGGGAAUACUGCCAGCUGGGACUGAGGACUGCGACGUAAGUCAAGGAUGCUGGCAUAAUGGUUAUAUGCCGCCCGUCUUGAAACACGCA
rnacentral:rRNA from 1 species